rnacentral:lncRNA from 1 species
GUAGUGAGCCUUUACUGUAGCAAUUACCGCAGGGAAUUAUAAUAUUUGUUUAUUCUUCAUUCCCACCUCCGCCCUUACUCUGCACACUGAAACUUCCGGUCGGUCUGGACUGUUUACCUUUGUACCCGCGGAGGAGCUGCUCUGCCGCUGAGACGCAGUCAGAAGCCAGUAAUAAAUGAUCUAGAAACUUCAGGAUCUUUGUACACAUGAGACUGGAUGGAGCCCAGCACAAGCCUGUAACCUCAACACUGAGGCAGGAGGAUCAUGAGUUUGAGGCCAGCCCGUGCUACACAGCGAGACUCUUUCAAAAAACCAAAAGAAGGGCCGGGGAUUUAGCUCAGUGGUUUUGCCGCCUGCUGCGGAAGCACAAGGACCCGAGUUUGAUCCCCGACGCGGUCACACAGCGCAGUGAGCAAGCCCAUAUAUGCUGACGGAUCCAGGACACAAUACCACGAGGACCUAGCUACACAGGGUCCACACUGGAGGAGACAACCAAGACACUGCCAGAAUCUGCUUGUGCAGGAAAAAAAAGAAAAAAAUCUGACCUGGGCUUUAAAUUUGGACUUACAAGCUUUAACCUUGAGAAAGUCAUGUAUCUUUCUGGGUCUCAGCUUCCUUAUCUGUAAAAUGGGCUCCAUGUUAGUACUUGUGUCAUUGCAUGUUGUGGGGACCUCAGCUUCCCUUUGCUGGAACAGGAAGGCAUCUACAGAGGGGAAGAGGACUGGGAAGUUCAUCAGAUUGAGGUGGACAGUGAGGCACAGCAGGGGCAGCCAGACCGUGCGGUGCCAGGGCCUCUCCCCUCCAGAGGGCGUGGCUCCUCUUGGAUCUCCGCAUCCCAGCCCGCUGACCCAGCGCCUGGCUGGCAGCCCUGGAGGCAUGGGCCCAGCUGGUGGCAGGAGCCCUGGACAGGGGAAGGAGCAACUGGGAAACCCAUGACCCCCCUCAAAUGUAUGGGGUGCAGUGGUGGGGAGAAUACUUCCCCCUUCCUGGCCCUAGCCCCAGAGCCAGCACCUCCUUAGACCUGGCUCCCUGGGUCUGCCCAAACCUCCCUGCAGAUUCCUCUUGGCUCCCUGCUGGUUGCUCCAGCUCACAUGUGCUGCUUUCGAAUAAAGGAACUUGGAACCAC